rnacentral:rRNA from 1 species
UACGUAGGUCCCGAGCGUUGUCCGGAUUUAUUGGGCGUAAAGCGAGCGCAGGUGGUUUAUUAAGUCUGGUGUAAAAGGCAGUGGCUCAACCAUUGUAUGCAUUGGAAACUGGUAGACUUGAGUGCAGGAGAGGAGAGUGGUAUUCCAUGUGUAGCGGUGAAAUGCGUAGAUAUAUGGAGGAACACCGGUGGCGAGAGCGGCUCUCUGGCCUGUAACUGACACUGAGGCUCGAAAGCGUGGGGAGCAAACAGG